GUUGAGUCAAAGCUAUGCAUUCAGUUCAUGAUUUGAAGACCUGGUGUUUCCACUGUGCCAUAAAUUUUGGAGAGAGUUCUUUUGCCAGUAGGCACUAACUAUAAGCUCUUUAAAGGAUUUUGAUUUGAUGCAGGUUAAUCAUUGUGAAUGGAACAACUAGUAAUUAUACCUGGAGGAUAGGUUUGCUAAUUAAUAUUGUGAGUGCAGCACAGUUUAGUGUAAUGUGAUUACAAGAAUGAAUCUCCUAAAACAGUAUUAUCUAAAAAUGUUUUAAGAGCGUAUUUGUUAUGAUUUUUAAUUAAAAAUGCAAUCUCAUGGUAAUUUGAAACGGUUACCUAAUAAGCACAUAGGUCACAUGGAAGAGUGGAAAUUACUAAGUUACAACUGGUAAAAUAAUCUUUUAUGUGCUUCUUUGUUUGAAUAGUAAAAAGGCAAAAAACAUCCAUGCAGCCAUUACAGUAAGACAGUAGUGCUUUUUUGGCUUCCACAGGACAUUUCUUACAACUACAGAACUGAUGACAGGUGAAUAUACGAAUGAAACUAAGUAUUUUAUUAGAUGUAUAAUUAUGGCUUAACAAAAUAAUUAAAGGAUUGCAUUGUUUGGUAAUACUAUCUGAACUGCCUGUUAACCUGCCAUAAUUUUACAAAUAGAUGUGUUACAAAUGUGCAGUGUAUUUUACCUGAAGACAAGGGGUGUCUUCACACCUUGCCAUGAAUAUGUAACUCCUGCUAGCCUAAGACAUAGACUAUGUUGUAUUCUCCAAGAAUACCCAAUAAAGGCUUUCAACUUGUUUUUCUCUGAAUUCAGAAAAUUUUCAUAGCUUAAAUGAAGAAGAAAAUGAAUGGCCCUUGUCUUUGUUAGGUAUAAUUUCUUUAACUGCUUACUAGUGGAGAUACAUCUGUAUUUAAAUCCAGGAAUCCAAGCCAAUUCUUACCUGCUCAGAGGUCAGUUAAGGCUUUGACUUAGGAGCACACUACCAAGUAUCAGCCACCAUGUGCAGAGACUAGAACUCUGAGAAUACAGAUGAAAUUCUUGAUUUGUCUGUCCAAACAGCCUUCCAUAACCUUUGUAAAUCUUGUGCACUUCCUUCCAUUGUGUCCUGCGUUGCAGUCCCUCAUAGAACUCCUCACCUGUCUGUUCUCACUGCCAAAAUUUUGGUGAUCUCAGAUUGUCUCUGAGACUUCUCCUUCAUGUUCUCUUCCAUGAACACCCAGCUGGCUGAAGGCAGGAGGAAAGCCUAAAAGCAUCUGAAUGACCUUCUGUGGACCUUUUAAAAUAGCUUUGAAUGUUGCAUCAGGAUAUGCAUAAAAAAUCGCACAAUGUGGGAAGAACCAUGGUAAUGAAGACUUGCUAAUUGCUGAAUUAAAUAAUGUGUUUGUUAUCAGUACUAUUAAAACUAUGUAACCAGACUGUGACUGUACUGCCUAAUGUGCAAAUUCUUGAAAGAUGACAAACUGCUAAGAAGUUGGUUUGAGGGAUAUGCAAUUUUCCUCAAUAAGAAUAUGCCAGAUACUGCAUAAGAAUACAGACCUAAUGCAUGUGGCUAUUUAAACAAUACUGUUUCAUGUUAGGGAACUUGUCUGCCAUGCUUGCUGGAGCAGUAUAUUUAUACCCUAAAGUAUAAACAGUAGCAUUUUUUUUACUGAACAAGUGUGAAGUGCUCAAACUUCAUCAUAAAUAGUUACCCAUAUUUGAUAUUUUGAUUAUGGUAGGGAGCCCAGAAUGCUGAACCAAAAUCUUUAUUAAUUUUACAAAACAUGCUACAUGUUAGGGCAGUUGAAUUGUAAUUAUGAAGUAAAUGAAAACAACGUGUUUUGCUUGAGUUUAUUCUCUAAUUAGAAAGGAUAAUGGAUAAUCAGUGUAGAGCAGUAGCUAUCAACUUUUAAUGUUUCUGAACUGUAGGAAAUGGUGUAUUUGCAAGUCUGGUGUCUGGUCAUUGAUAUCAGGGCCGGGUUUCCCAGCGAGUAAUUCCACGCUUCAGUCUUCACUGAUUGUUUGCCACUAGUGUUUUGAUAUAGUAGAACUGUAAAUGAGAAUUUGCAGUAGAUCUUCUGUCAGAGGCUUCAUUAGUCCAAAAUUCACUUUUGUCAUCUGUUCUUAGUGAUAUAUUUCAGCUGGCUUUAUUAAACUUUCUGUUUGAUUUUUUAGCCUCA